rnacentral:rRNA from 1 species
UACGUAGGGCGCAAGCGUUUGUCCGGAAUUAUUGGGCGUAAAGAGCUCGUAGGCGGCCUGUUGCGUCCGCUGUGAAAACCCGGGGCUUAACCCCGGGCUUGCAGUGGAUACGGGCAGGCUGGAGGCAGGCAGGGGAGAACGGAAUUCCCGGUGUAGCGGUGAAAUGCGCAGAUAUCGGGAGGAACACCGGUGGCGAAGGCGGUUCUCUGGGCCUGUACUGACGCUGAGGAGCGAAAGCGUGGGGAGCGAACAGG